rnacentral:rRNA from 1 species
GACGAACGCUGGCGGCGUGCUUAACACAUGCAAGUCGAACGGUGAAGCGCCUUCCUUUUUGGUGGGUGUGGAUGAGUGGCGAACGGGUGAGUAACACGUGAGUAACCUGCCCCCUUCUUCUGGAUAACCGCAUGAAAGUGUGGCUAAUACGGGAUAUUCUGGGUCUGUCGCAUGAUGGGUCUGGGAAAGAUAUUGUUUCGGUGGGGGAUGGGCUCGCGGCCUAUCAGCUUGUUGGUGGGGUGAUGGCCUACCAAGGCGGUGACGGGUAGCCGGCCUGAGAGGGUGGACGGUCACACUGGGACUGGGACACGGCCCAGACUCCUACGGGAGGCAGCGGUGGGGAAUAUUGCACAAUGGGCGCAAGCCUGAUGCAGCGACGCCGCGUGAGGGAUGGAGGCCUUCGGGUUGUGAACCUCUUUCGCCAGUGAAGCAGGCCUGCCUCGUUUGUGGGUGGGUCGACGGUAGCUGGAUAAGAAGCGCCGGCUAACUACGU